UACUUCGUCCCAGGUCACUGCUGAUGUGA
rnacentral:piRNA from 1 species